rnacentral:tRNA from 1 species
GCCUGGGUGGCUUAGUUGGUUAAGCAUCUGACUUUGGCUCAGGUCAUGAUCUCAUGGUUCGUAAGUUUGAGCCUCACUACAGGUG